AUUGAACGCUGGCGGCAUGCCUAACACAUGCAAGUCGAACGGCAGCACGGCAGUAGCAAUACUGUGGGUGGCGAGUGGCGGACGGGUGAGGAAUACGUCGGAAUCUGCCCAAUCGUGGGGGAUAACUAACCGAAAGGUUAGCUAAUACCGCAUACGACCGAGAGGUGAAAGCGGGGGACCGCAAGGCCUCGCGCGAUUGGAUGAGCCGACGUCGGAUUAGCUUGUUGGUGGGGUAAAGGCCUACCAAGGCGACGAUCGGUAGCUGGUCUGAGAGGAUGAUCAGCCACACUGGGACUGAGACACGGCCCAGACUCCUACGGGAGGCAGCAGUGGGGAAUAUUGGACAAUGGGCGCAAGCCUGAUCCAGCAAUGCCGCGUGUGUGAAGAAGGCCUGCGGGUUGUAAAGCACUUUUGUUCGGGAAGAAAUCAUGUCGGUUAAUACCCGAUGUGGAUGACGGUACCGAAAGAAUAAGCACCGGCUAACUUCGUGCCAG
rnacentral:rRNA from 1 species